rnacentral:rRNA from 1 species
ACACGUAUGAAAGUCAAGCUGAAAGACUUUACUCAAUGAUGUAAGUGGUGGUGCAUGGUCGUUCGUAGUUCGUGGAUUGAUUUGUCUGGUUUAUUCCGAUAACGAGCGAGACCCCAACGUUCCUAAUAGGAGCGUUAGCCCGGCCCGCCGCAAGGCGGUGCUAGCUAUCGCUUUAAGAUUUGCUUCUUAGACGUAUCAGAGCCGAUAAGGCGCUUGAAAUGGGUUAAUAACAGGUCAGUGAUGCCCUUAGAUGUUCUGGGCCGCACGCGCGUUACAAUGGCAUGUAAAGCGAGUGCUUAUCCAAAAGGCUUUGCCGGGGCCGAAAGGCUUCGGUAAUCCUUAAUCCCUGCCUUGACUGGGAUAGAUCAUUGCAAUUAUUGGUCUCAAACGAGGAAUUUUUAGUAGGCGCAGGUCAUUAACCUGCGUCGA